rnacentral:lncRNA from 1 species
AUCCUUAAAAAAUAAGGAUAAUUUUUUUAAGACUAAAUUACAGAAAUUCCUCCUGUCAAAAUCCGAUUUUUCACUUUUCCCCCCUGUCAUUUAAAAACCUACACUUUGCCCCAUUGUAAAAUGAAAAAUGUGCACUUCACUCCCUACCGUUAGUGAUCCGUUAGGCUUUCGUUAUAAAAUAUUUUUUUAUGCCAAAAAUACCCCUCUGCCCUCUUCCCUGUUACUUUGCCUCCCUCCGGCUCGCCGCUUCGCCGCCGCCUCACCCUCCUCCACUGCCUCGCCCUUGCCCUCGCCCACAUCCCCUUCGCCCUCCUCCAUCGCCUCGCCUUCGCCCUCAUUGCCCUUGCCUACCUCUCCAUCAGCGCCCACCUUGAUUUUCUCCCUACUGUCACCGAAAGCGAGGGGCGGCGAGGGUGCAGGAGGAGAAGGGGAGCAGGUGGAGAAGAAAAUGGAGAGAAAUCGCGGCGGAUCGAGGUGUGAAUCGUAGCCGAUCGAGGCGGCGAUUGAGAAAGAUGAGGGAGGAGACGAAAAUGGUGAGAGGCAAAAUGGUCAUUUUACAUACCGUACCUUCCUGUGAACAUUUUUCAUUUUACAAGGGAGCAAAGUGUAGGGUUUUAAAUGACAGGGGAAGUGAAAAAUCGAGUUUUGACAGGAGAGUUUUAUGUAAUUUAACCUUUUUUAAUUCAAAAUUAAGAAUGUUUAUCUUGAUCUAACUAGCUUCUUUGUCAUUGAAAU